rnacentral:rRNA from 1 species
GCAGUGAGGAAUAUUGGUCAAUGGGCGGAAGGCUGAACCAGCCAAGUCGCGUGAGGGAAUAAGGCCCUACGGGUCGUAAACCUCUUUUGCCAGGGAGCAAUGCCGUCCACGUGUGGACGGAAGGAGAGUACCUGGAGAAAAAGCAUCGGCUAACUCCGUGCCAGCAGCCGCGGUAAUACGGAGGAUGCGAGCGUUAUCCGGAUUUAUUGGGUUUAAAGGGUGCGUAGGCGGCCUGCCAAGUCAGCGGUAAAAUUGCGGGGCUCAACCCCGUACAGCCGUUGAAACUGCCGGGCUCGAGUGGGCGAGAAGUAUGCGGAAUGCGUGGUGUAGCGGUGAAAUGCAUAGAUAUCACGCAGAACCCCGAUUGCGAAGGCAGCAUACCGGCGCCCGACUGACGCUGAGGCACGAAAGUGCGGGGAUCAAACAGGAUUAGAUACCCUGGUAGUCCGCACAGUAAAC